GAAAUGCGAUAAGUAAUGUGAAUUGCAGAAUUCAGUGAAUCAUCGAAUCUUUGAACGCACCUUGCGCUCCUUGGUAUUCCGAGGAGCAUGCCUGUUUGAGUGUCAUGAAAACCCUCAACCUUAGAUUGGUUAUUUGACCUUUCUUUGGCUUGGAUUUGGACGUUUGCCGAUGUCAAGUCGGCUCGUCUUAAAAGUAAUAGCUGGAUCUGUCUCGCGACAUGGUUUGACUUGGCGUAAUAAGUAUUUCGCUAAGGACAUCUUCGGAUGGCCCUGUUGCAGGACUAAAGACCGCUUUCUAAUCCAUUGAUCUUCGGAUUAAUAUUCAUAACAUCUGGCCUCAAAUCAGGUAGGACUACCCGCUGAACUUAA
rnacentral:misc_RNA from 2 species